CUUCAAUUGAUCAGUCCCAAAUAGGACGAGACGUGCUUCCUGGAU
rfam:Schistosoma mansoni, Puerto Rico, WGS project CABG01000000 data, contig: 0097